UACAGAGGGCUCAAGCGUUGUUCGGAUUCAUUGGGCGUAAAGGGUGCGUAGGUGGCGCUGUAAGUCAGUCGUGAAAUUUCGGAGCUUAACUCCGAAACUGCAUUUGAUACUACGGUGCUUGAGGACUGGAGAGGAGACUGGAAUUCACGGUGUAGCAGUGAAAUGCGUAGAGAUCGUGAGGAAGACCAGUGGCGAAGGCGGGUCUCUGGACAGUUCCUGACACUGAGGCACGAAGGCCAGGGGAGCAAACGGG
rnacentral:rRNA from 1 species